rnacentral:lncRNA from 1 species
UUUCAGAACAAUAAACACGUGGAGGCUCUAGAUGACGGCCAACUGCGCGCCCUGCUCGAUGAGGCUAUCACGUACAAGUGUCCCAAAGAUCGCGAGGGAAAGAGUAGUUUAUUUAAGGAACUGUUGGAAGAAGUGGAACAGGACGAGCAGGCGUGCGAGGCGGCGGCGCGACUGGGCGCGGGCAGGAACAACAGACGCGGCCGCGCCCACCGCGAGCACCACUCUAGUCUACAGGACCUCGUAGCGGCGAUGGCGGGCGAGGCGGCGCCGCGG